rnacentral:lncRNA from 1 species
AAAGAUGUCCACUUGAACAGAUAAAGCUCAGAAAACUCCCCGUCAUCUGCUGCUUUGGAAGUAACAGUGAAGCUAGUGCUGACACCAGCCAAAACUUUAAGAAGACCUUGGAAAAGAGCAAAUAGGUGAGAUGAGGCACCACCAAUGACCCAGAACUGCUCGUUUCUCCACCAGUCAUCAAUAGUAACACCUCCCUAUUGCAUCUCAAGAACACUCGUGGCAGCAAUCAUUAUGAAAAGUCCCAUGAAAAGAAUGCUAGCAUAGUUGCUAAUCUGCAAACCGCAAUGAAUUUUCAGCAAAAAUAUCAUGCGAUGAAUUGAAUGUUGUGAUGCAUUUUUAGUUAUGCCUAGAGAUAAAAGAUUCUGGAACUGAAUAAUAGUAUCAAACUUUCAAACUGGUGGCCUAAUCACUAGUCCCCGACAAAUAUAUAAAGACAAGAAAUUGGAGCAGCUGUCUCCUUCUAGGUACAGCACAACCAAGAUAACAGGCUUCCUGCUCUAAGAUACCUGGGGGCCGAGGGGAAAAAAUCAAAUUAAUAACAGCAGAAAGUAGCAGUUUGAGCUGUGUGAAAUAGUACAACAACAACUACCCAGUAUAGUCCCACAAAGUGGGGUCUGGGGAGGGUAAUAUGUAGACGAGCCUUACCCCUGUGUGAAAUAGUACAUUUACUCAAAUAUUUUUCUAAGGCAGCUUAUAUGAAAAGAGGGAUAUUUUGCAUACUGUCAUUUCCAGAAAUAAAGAUACAAAGUCCAUGUAAUAUGAAGAGUUGAGUAGAAUAUAAAAUAAAGCUCGAAGCAAGAAAUUCUUACCUCUGGAACAAUAAAUUUCCCAGUAAGCAAACAUACAGCUGGCAAUGCACAAUAUGCGAUCAAAGGAAGAGAAGUCAAUGGGUAGACCACCGAGUUUAUGUAGGAAAAACGUUCCAGUGGCUUCAGCCCACACCCAUAUCCAUACCAAAUGGGACAAUGUUUACUCAAGAGAAUUUCAACAGAUCCCAAAGCCCACCGCAGAACCUGGUGAAGCCGAUCUGAAAGAUUGAUAGGAGCUGACCCCUUAAACGCAGGCCUUUUUGGCAUGCAGUAGACAGAUCUCCAACCGUGACAGUGCAUCUUAAAUCCGGUAAGGAUAUCCUCAGUAACAGAUCCAUAAAUCCAUCCAACCUGGCGGUGCACUACAAGUUAGACCAAAUAAAUGCAGAAUGCAUUCCAGAAAAUAAAAAUAUCAGCAUGUAUUUUACCUCUCUACCCCAUUCUGUUUUGUCUUCAUAACCACAACUAAUGACAUGUAUUGCUUCUUUCAGGAGAGAUGCUGAUGUUGCUCCUGGAGGAAUGCCACCAUCUUCUAGAAGUGUUGAAGCGACGAAUACUGGUGAUUGUCCAAAUUUCUUCUCAAGUUUUAUCUGAGGCAUGAGGGUUGCUUUUUCACUAUCAAUUCCUGCAGCAAAAAGCAAGUUAACGACAAACGAACAUACAAGAAUCUGACAUUUUACCAUGAGUAAGGGAAGAAACAUGCUCCAGAGAUUUUAACUCGGAUAUAAUCCAAAAAGAAGAAAGUUAUGACAGAGGAACUUCGAAAUUAGAAUGUUUGCUAACCAAAUAGGCAAAUUGAAAAGGAUCCAAACUAGAUACUUAAGUCUACAAAUUAGCCUUAGUGGUGGCUUCUCAAAGUGUCCCUUCCGUACCUUCAAUUCCUUCCUCGAUAUUUUCAAGGGCAUGAAUUUGUGGUGAAGCCUCUUUGGUUUUAGUCUUCUUUUUGUUAUCCUUGGUAGUUUUCCCUUUCUUAUGCUUCUUUCGAGAACUGAAACAACAGCAACACCAUUUCGGCCAGCAGUUGCAUGUUUUUCCUGGAGGUUUUGUCUUCUUUGGAGCAUCAUAACCAUAAAGCGCUUGCCUCCUGAAGACACAUCCAGUACCCACGUAAAUUGGACCCUGGAUCCCAUCAAGUCCUUUCAUAUUGAUCUGUUAACGCAAAUGGCAUAAAAUUAAACUAGCUUUCUGUUAGGCAGCUAAUAGUGCAUAUCAUAUACUUGUGCACAAACAUAAACACUGCAACAUUGCAUAACAAAAACCCCAGAAGAAAGCUUCUUACGUACAUCAAAGAAGACCACAUUGCGAUUGGAGUAUCUGUCAUGCCUGUCAAUACCAUCAAACCUUUGCGGAAAUUGUACGUAGCAUAUUUUCUUUCCUGAAGUGGGGUCCAUCAUAAAGCACAUAGCUUCUCUCAGUGCCUUACUGUUAUUUAUAUAGUGAUCACAAUCCACAUUGAG